GCUGACGAGUGGCGGACGGGUGAGUAAUGUCUGGGAAACUGCCUGAUGGAGGGGGAUAACUACUGGAAACGGUAGCUAAUACCGCAUAACGUCGCAAGACCAAAGAGGGGGACCUUCGGGCCUCUUGCCAUCGGAUGUGCCCAGAUGGGAUUAGCUUGUUGGUGGGGUAACGGCUCACCAAGGCGACGAUCCCUAGCUGGUCUGAGAGGAUGACCAGCCACACUGGAACUGAGACACGGUCCAGACUCCUACGGGAGGCAGCAGUGGGGAAUAUUGCACAAUGGGCGCAAGCCUGAUGCAGCCAUGCCGCGUGUAUGAAGAAGGCCUUCGGGUUGUAAAGUACUUUCAGCGGGGAGGAAGGGAGUAAAGUUAAUACCUUUGCUCAUUGACGUUACCCGCAGAAGAAGCACCGGCUAACUCCGUGCCAGCAGCCGCGGUAAUACGGAGGGUGCAAGCGUUAAUCGGAAUUACUGGGCGUAAAGCGCACGCAGGCGGUUUGUUAAGUCAGAUGUGAAAUCCCCGGGCUCAACCUGGGAACUGCAUCUGAUACUGGCAA
rnacentral:rRNA from 1 species